CAGAAUGAGCGAGUAAGGAACGAAUAAAGAAGAGCGGGAUGAUUCGAAUAUAUUACAGCACCUGGCUCAUAGCGACGUUGCUUUUUGAUCCUUCGAUAUCGGCUCUUCCUAUCAUACUGAAGCAAAAUUCAGUAAGCGUUGGAUUGUUCACCCACUAAUAGGGAACUUAGACCGUUGUGAGACAGGUUAGUUUUACCCUACUGAUGAAAUGUUGUUGCAAUAGUAUUUGAACUUAGUACGAGAGGAACCAUUCAUUCGGAUAAUUGGUAUUUGGGCCUGCCUGAGCAGGCAAUGGCCCCGAAGCUAUCAUCCGUUGGGUUAUGGCUGAACUCCUCCAAGUCAGAACCCGUGCUAGAACGCGACGAUUACCGCCUUUUCCGAUUUUUAGUUGAAUACGAAUAGAUCUUCGGAUCCUGAAUCAUGCUACAAGGGGUCGAUCUUGCAGAGCGGAAAGACCUUGUGAGGUUCCUCCUAAUGUUAGUUUCAAAUAUUGGAAGAGAUAAAUCCAUUGCAGACGACUUUAAUUUAACGGGGGGUAUUGCAAGGAAUAGAGCAGCCUUUGUUACGAUCUGCUGAGAUUAAGCCCAUAGUUCUAUAGGUUU
rnacentral:ncRNA from 1 species